UGAGUAACCUGCCCUUAACUCUGGGAUAAGCCUGGGAAACUGGGUCUAAUACCGGAUAUGACUCCUCAUCGCAUGGGUGGGGGGUGGAAAGUCUUUUUUGUGGUUUUGGAUGGACUCGCGGCCUAUCAGCUUGUUGGUGAGGUAAUGGCUCACCAAGGCGACGACGGGUAGCCGGCCUGAGAGGGCGACCGGCCACGCUGGGACUGAGACACGGCCCAGACUCCUAGGGAGCAG
rnacentral:rRNA from 1 species